rnacentral:misc_RNA from 1 species
GCCUCAUCCAUUUUGUAGCAGACCACUUUUCACCUGACAGAACCUCACACCCUCCAUGUAAGCUUUUAGGAUCUGACUGUCCAUCUAAUCCCAUGCUCCAGAAAAGCACUGCAUCUCCUUUAAUUGGCUUUACAGACAACCCUUUCACAACCUUUCCACCACAAUUGCAUUCGCCUGAUCCAGCCAUAGGAAAAUAUGUUUCUCCACCCUCAACAUUGUCACUUAAGUACAUCAGCAUUGUUGCUACACGCUGCCCACCACGCUUCAAG